rnacentral:rRNA from 1 species
AUGAACGCUGGCGGCGUGCCUAAUACCUGCAAGUCGCGCGAACAGACGAGGAGCUUGCUCCUCUGACGUUAGCGGCGGACGGGUGAGUAACACGUGGAUAACCUACCUAUAAGACUGGUAUAACUUCGGGAAACCGGAGCUAAUACCGGAUAAUAUAUUGAACCUCAUGGUUCAAUAGUGAAAGACGGUUUUGCUGUCACUUAUAGAUGGAUCCGCGCCGCAUUAGCUAGUUGGUAAGGUAACGGCUUACCAAGGCGACGAUGCGUAGCCGACCUGAGAGGGUGAUCGGACACACUGGAACUGAGGCAGAGUCCAGACUACUACGGGGAGCAGCAGUAGAGAAUCUUCCGCAAUGGGCGAAAGCCGGACAGAGCAAAGCCGCGUAAGUGAUGAAGGUCUUCGGAGCGUAAAACUCUGUUAGUAGGGAAGAACAAAUGUGUAAGUAACUAUGCACGUCUUGACGGUACCUAAUCAGAAAGCCACGGCUAACUACGUG